rnacentral:rRNA from 1 species
UAGCUACGGCGAGUGAGAGAGGAAGAGCCCAAGAUUGAAAGCUGGCGUCUUCGGCGUCCGCAUUGUAAUCUCAAGAAGUGUUUUCCGCUUCGGACCAAGCCUAAGUCCCCUGGAAAGGGGCAUCAUAGAGGGUGAUAAUCCCGUACAUGGCUUGGAGCGCCCGAGGCUUUGUGAUACGCUUUCUAAGAGUCGAGUUGUUUGGGAAUGCAGCUCAAAAUGGGUGGUAAAUGCCAUCUAAGGCUAAAUAUUGGGGAGAGACCGAUAGCGAACAAGUACAGUGAUGGAAAGAUGAAAAGAACUUUGAAAAGAGAGUUAAACAGUACGUGAAAUUGCCAAAAGGGAAGGGUAGGAGGUCAGAGAUGCGGCCUGGGAUUCAGCCUUGCUUUUGCUUGGUGUUUUUCCCAGAUUGCAGGCCAACGUCGGUUUUGGGCACUGGAGAAGGGUAGGAGGAACGUGGCACCCCUCGGGGUGUGUUAUAGCCUCCUACUGGAUACAGCGACCGAGACCGAGGACAGCAGCGUACUCGCAAGAGCGGGCCUUCGGGCACCUUUACGCUUAGGGCGUUGGCAUAAUGGCCCUCUACCACCCGUCUUGA